UUGCUUCAGCAGCACCUAUACUAAAAUUGGAACAAUACAGAGAUUAGAUACAGACCCCCCUGUACUAGGAUGACAGCAAAAUUCAUGAAGCACUCCAUAUAUUU